rnacentral:lncRNA from 1 species
GAACUUUAUUUAGUGAAGAACACAAAGUAUAAUAAGCUUUAAAGAUAAUAUCAACAUCCCUUUAAUAGCAACCACUAUCACGGAAUCAUCAUGCGUAAAUCUUUUUUACUGCAUCAGAAUUAACUGGCAAUGGUAACUCUUCCCCAUCCAUUCUUGUGAGAAUUAGUGCACCACCAGAAAAUGCUUUCUUCACUAUAAACGGCCCUUCAUAAUUUGGUGUCCAUUUGCCCCUAUGAUCCUUUUGUAUAGGUAGAAUCUUCUUCAACACCAGCUUGCCUUCAUGAAAUUCUCUUGGACGUACCCUUUUGUCAAAUGCCUUCUUCAUUUUUCU